AUUGAACGCUGGCGGCAGGCCUAACACAUGCAAGUCGAACGAGUGGCAGACGGGUGAGUAAUGUCUGGGAAACUGCCCGAUGGAGGGGGAUAAAUACUGGAAACGGUCGCUAAUACCGCAUACCAUGGGAUGUGCCCAGAUGGGAUUAGCUAGUGGGUGGGGUAAGGGCUCACCUAGGCGACGAUCCCUAGCUGGUCUGAGAGGAUGACCAGCCACACUGGAACUGAGACACGGCCCAGACUCCUACGGGAGGCAGCAGUGGGGAAUAUUGCACAAUGGGCGCAAGCCUGAUGCAGCCAUGCCGCGUGUAUGAAGAAGGCCUUCGGGUUGUAAAGUACUUUCAGCGGGGAGGCGUUACCCGCAGAAGAAGCACCGGCUAACUCCGUGCCAGCAGCCGCGGUAAUUC
rnacentral:rRNA from 1 species